rnacentral:lncRNA from 1 species
CCCCCCCCCCGGCUCGGCUCCCCGCUCGGCCUCCCCCGAGGGGCAGCUGCAGCCCGGCUCUAGAGCCCCUCUCCCACCGGCCGCGCCUCCCCUCCGACGCUGCCGCCCCCCGCCCGCCCCGGCCGCUUACCUGGCGUGGGCAGGGCAGCCGGCGGCGGGCGGGCGGGAGCGGGACGUGGGCCGGGAGUCGGGCGCAGGUGGCCGCCGCGGCGCCUCAGUUGCUGUCGCUACAGUUACAGCUCUGCCGAGCUCCUCCUCCGCCACCGCCUCCUGCCUGCCCACUGGGCCUCCCGCGCUCCCCGGAGCGGCCGCACAGAGGCUCCGCUUCCUCCCGAGUCUCCCAGGUGAGCUCCCCCAGCGGAGUCUGCCGGGCGAGGCCCUGUCCGCGCCUGCGCGCCUGCCUCGGCCCCGCCCAGCCCUACCUGAGGCUCCAGGUGAGCGCCGCGCACUGGGCGGGGUCGAUCCCUCCGCUCCGCGAAGCCGCAGCUCCCCGCGAGCCCCUCUACCGGCCGCUCCACGCUCGAGGAGUCCUGCCCUGCCCAGGGGCAGUGGUCACCUUGUCGCCAGAACACAGUCCGUGUGCUUGGGGAACCAAGUCUAGAUACCCAAGCCCAGUUAGCCAAAAGUGCUACAACAUUCUUAGCUGUUUGAUGUUAAUCUUUGAGGAAUUUCAGAGAAAUCCUAAAUGUUUGACCAAGAAGUCUACAUCCCUUCUGUGCACCACCCACCUCUGAAUGAAGCAGGAGCCAAAGACUGUCAGAGUUGUGAUGUUUCACCAGGCGAAGGGCAACAAUUUUCACUGACAAUCAGGAUAGAACAGAUGGAUAUAGAAGAGCAAUCUGGAAUCCAAGGGCCAAGAGGUGGGGGCCUCAAGACUAGUAACAUCAAAUAACAACUGAAAAGAGAAGCCAGGGCAGACCCACAAAAAAGGGAGCACAAGCAAAUAAAAGACCAAGCUGCUGCCUGAGGAGUGAAAAGAAAAAAAAUACAUAAAAAUGAUCAGAAGUUGCUAAAAACUGGCUGUCAAUUUCACAAUGGCAAGAGAUAAUUUAACCAGGGAAAGCAAUAUUUCUGAAUCUGGCAUUACUUGUAAAAUUUCAUACAUUAUUUGUACUAUUAUAUCAUUCUGAAAGCAAAGUCUUAAAGGUUUUUCUACUUCACAGUAAAAUUUAAAGUGCUGCAAGCCUAAUAAAUGUAUUAUUGUGCUGAAAUGUUUAGUGUCCCAAAUCUAAUCAGAUGCAGAGUUUUUGAAAGUACCAUCCUAUUCAAAAGUAUGAAAUGAAGAAUUUAUGAAAGGAAAAUUAGCAUUUCAUCAUCAAAAUCCAGAGCUUUAGCAUAUAUAUACUUCUCAGAAAAAAAGUUUAUUUUAGUAGCGCAUGUUUAGCAUAUAAUGGCAGUUAAGUUAGAAAAUUGGGCAGAGUUUACUCGGGAAAGAAGAGAGAACCAUCUCACCCUCUCUCUUCCCCAUGUAUGCAUGUGUAUAUACCACACACAACCAGCCACAGAAUUCUCCUUUAUAUGGAUUUGAAACAGUUCCACUGGUUAAUCAUUUGAUAACAUUUAAAU